UCCAUUUUUUACAAAAUUAGUUCUCAUUUAUCUCGAACAAAUUCUAUACAAUUUUCAGAACCAUAAGUUGUUAUGUAGCUUAAAUAAGAAUACAUUCUUAGAUAGGUAAGGUUCUUUUGUUGGGUUUUAGGUUGGGCUAAGGAUAAGUAAGGGGGUUGAAUUAAGUAGUCCUCUUCAUUUUUUCAAGGAACGUAUCUCUAAAAUAUCCUUAUCUUCUUAAUGGGUUAGACCUUAUGGGUUGUAGAUAUGGGCUCACUAUUUUUAUAGUGGUUUGACACUAGCAUACAUUCACUCUCUAAGAAUAUACUUUGUUCUUGGGUUUCACUAAUCAAAUCAUUUGAUGACACCUGUUGAUUAUAAGGACUCAACUCCCAUAUGAUUUCACUCAAAAAUCUUAUUCUAGAUCCAUGGCU
rnacentral:lncRNA from 1 species